AAUCAACGCUGGCGGCGUGCCUCAGACAUGCAAGUCGAACGAUUAAAGCUCUCUUCGGAGAGUGCAUAAAGUGGCGCACGGGUGAGUAACACGUAAGUAAUCUACCUUCGAGUGGGGAAUAACGUCCGGAAACGGACGCUAAUACCGCAUAAUGCAGCGGCAUCGCAAGAUGACAGUUGUUAAAGAUUUAUCGCUUGAAGAGGAGCUUGCGGCAGAUUAGCUAGUUGGUAAGGUAAUGGCUUACCAAGGCUACGAUCUGUAACCGGUCUAAGAGGACGGUCGGUCACACUGACACUGAAUAACGGGUCAGACUCCUACGGGAGGCAGCAGUCGGGAAUUUUGGGCAAUGGGCGAAAGCCUGACCCAGCAACGCCGCGUGAAGGAUGAAGUAUUUCGGUAUGUAAACUUCGAAAGAAUAGGAAGAAUAAAUGACGGUACUAUUUAUAAGCUCCGGCUAACUACGUGCCAGCAGCCGCCGUAAG
rnacentral:rRNA from 1 species